GCCUGGGUGGCUCAGUCAGUUGAGCAUCCGACUUCGGCUCAGGUCAUGAUCUCGCAGUUUGUGGGUUCGAGCCCCGCGUCGGGCC
rnacentral:tRNA from 1 species